AAAUUGAAGAGUUUGAUCAUGGCUCAGAUUGAACGCUGGCGGCAGGCCUAACACAUGCAAGUCGAACGGUAGCACAGAGAGCUUGCUCUCGGGUGACGAGUGGCGGACGGGUGAGUAAUGUCUGGGAAACUGCCUGAUGG
rnacentral:rRNA from 2 species